ensembl:lncRNA
AGAGAUCCCUCCUCUUGGAGCCCUUUUGCAAGCUCAGGACACAGUUGGAAGGGACCUCAAGAGAUCAUUGAGUACAUCAUCCCUGACAAAGCAGUAUUUCAGAACUUGACUCACUUUGGAAGACUGCCAAUAGUGCAAACUUGGAAUGAGGAGAAGAUCCCUCACUGCAAACUUUCAACCCAUGGGUUAAUAGCCAAGAGAGGAAGAUCUCUGUUCAGAGAUUGCCCCUUCUGGAGACUUCGCUGACCUUUGGAAUGGUGAGCUGAUGGCUGUGUGGUUCUUUGAUUCUUUGCUGCCUGCCAGGUUAAUCCACAACAAGGAUUCACAUAGUUGUGGAGGACUAAGGUACUUAAAAUCAGUAAGUAAAUCACAAUGUGGUUAUUUGUGACUGAAAUUCAAAAGACUUUGUAAUGUUUUGAAAAUGACUGACAACCCCUAUAUGUGACAGCUGUUCCAGAAAAGAGACCACAAAACUCUGAAUUAAUAGUGUAUUCAUUUCUAAACCUUGAUUUAUUUUCUGCUUCUUACUCACGUGCAUUAUGUUUCAAAUAUUCAACUAAGUCUAGAAAGGAAGGAAAAAACCAACAGAUUUGUAAUAGCAAAGCAGAAAAUGUAGUGCAGUACUAGUAUCAACAUCAAACAACAAUAUCCUAUUAAAAUACUUCAGAGUAUUGAGUGAAUCUAUUGGUUUUUCAGUGUGUACUACAGAAGGAACCUAUUUGGGGUACAAAAUGAGUUCAGUCUUAGACUUUGCGUACUUAGUAAAGGUUGUAUUUUUGCAGUGUACGGCAUACUAUGUCAGAACAGAACUGGAGGAGUUAUUAAUGAUAUUAACACAGCGUACACAAUAAUUCUUGUUUCAGUUUUGAAAUCUGAAGUUAUUAUAAUUAGCUUAUUAGGACUUCAUAAAGAUUCAGCUGGACUGUAAUCUUACCAAAAUAUACCUUAUCUGCCUUGCAUAUUCUUUCAGUAUGUCUAUGGACCACAGUUAUACAGAAAAUUCAUCACUGAUAUAUUACUAGAGGUUCAUGAGGUUUGUUUGUAUGAGGUGCUGACCUACUUUUCCUUUAUCUCUUAAGGGAUUAAUUUAUUUUUUUAAUCAAACAUUGCUGGAAUGAGCCAUGUAGUCAAAAAUAAAAAAAAUAAAAUGCUGAGUGACAGUUCUCUAGUAUUAAAAUUCUGUAGGCCAUCUCUUUGUUGGUCACAUUUACGAUUUUCAGACAGAAAAUGUUAUCACUUUGUCAGCUUCAGAUGUUGUCAGUUAGUUUGUCAAAUGGCUGAGAUGACAGGCUGUUAUUUUCCACUUGUAAGCAGAGAAGAUGUUGCAAAUACUUCUCCUGUAUCCAGUCAAUACUUUUGCAGUUCUUAAUUAGACUUCUGCAGUGUGCUCACCCUGAGACCAUAUCUACAAGCAAACUACAGAAAAAUGCCAUUAAUUCAUGGAAAAAAAAAUGCUGUUGAUAACACAUUGGUGUUCCAGUUGUUGCUGAAGAGUGCUGUACAGAGCCAAGGAUACUUCACCUUUCUGCUUCUCCUACUGUUCUGCUAGCAAGGGAGCUGACCUAAGCCAGCCAAAUGGAUAUUCCAUAGCACGUGACAUCAUGUGGGGAAAAAAAAAAAGCUAUAAAACUGAGGGGAGUUGAUUGAGGAAGCCACCACUGCUCAAGGACUGGCUGGGCAUCGGUCAGAGGAUGAUGGCAGCAGAGGGACAAUCUGACCAAAUAGUGUCUGACAUGAAAAUGUGAAUGAAGCAAAGUGUAUGGGAACUGUUGAAUCAAGGCCGGAACAUCUGAUUGACCACCUGAUGUGAGCGCUGAGUCAGCCACAGGGGCACAGGUGAAUGCAAUUUCACCUGAGUGACCAGAGCCAGGCUCCACCCCUCCUAGACCCCAUUUAAGGGCUGACUCCCAAGAAGGAAGGUUCUCUAUCUGAAGAUCACUCCUCUUGGAGUGCUUCUGCAAGCCUGGGAUACAGGUUUCAAACCAAUGGAAAUGCACUGAUGGGAUGUGCAGUGGAAACGCUAAGUCACAGCUUGAACCAGUGAUUGAGCACCUAGUGGGAAGGCAGGGCCAACUCAAAGGACCUCAGGUGCGUGCAAUGUACCGCAGUGACUGGAAGGGGUGGAGCCAGGAUUCACCGCCUCCCAGACCUCAUUUAAGGGUUGGCAGUGGAAGUGAGGAUAUUUUGCUGGAGAUCCCUGCCUACCUGAGCCUAUCUGAAGAAUUGCCAGCCUUGUGGAUGAGAAGCAAGCAUUGGAUGUGAUACAUCUUGACACAGCUUUUGAGACAAACUACUUGGUUAUUCUCAAGAGCAAGAUGAGAAUACAUGGUCUGGAUAAAAUUAGAAAUAAAUUUUAGACUUUAUUAAAGACUAUGUACCAAUAACUCAAUGUUAAACUAAGUACCUUAAGCAAGGUCUCACUGAGACUUUUCAUGAGCACUGUUCAACAAUUUCAUUAAUGGCUUGGAUGAUGAGAAACAUAGUACACUUCUUUAAUCUUUAUGCACUGCUUCCUUGGGAAGAAUUGCAAGGAUGUUGGAAGACAGUAUUAUGUCUUAUAUCGAUACAAAAAAAAUUCAGUGAAGGUAAUUUUGUUCUACAUAUAUGGAAGAGAAGGCCUAAAGUACAAAUAUAAAAUGUUUAAGUAUCUAAGAAGCAGUACUACUAGAAAAGGAUGAUCUGAAGCUGUAGCGGGCCACAAAUAGAAGAGGUGCCAGCAAUCUGAUGCUAUUAAAAAGGGUAGAUAAAAUUCUGAAAUGUAUUAGGUAAGAAUGUUAUAAAUAAUGCUUGAUGUAAGUAUCCCACUCAUUUUGAAAGUGAGAAAUCCAUAUGGAUAGUUUGAUAACCACUUUUUGGGUCAAAUACUUUAAGAAAGAUGUAAAACAAAAUGGAAAGGGAGAGAAACAAAAAUACCUUAUUGUGAUUUUCAGCAAGACUGAUAAAGGUGUCAUAUAAAAUGCUUUAAUUCCAAAGACGGUAGUACCAGAACUCACUAGAUGGGGGCAGGGGGAGGGGUGGUGAGGGGGAAGCCUGUAUACAAUCUUUUUGUAUUCAUCUCUGCGUAAUAAUUUUGAGUUUUCUCUAAAGAUUAGUUUAACAAAGAAUCUAAUUUCUGAAAGUUACAACAGAUAUAUAAAAAUAAAAGUAAGAAUGUGAAUGUCUGAUACCUGUUACCUCCACUACCACCUCACAUUCUCAUUUAGGUAAUUUAUUGUUUGUGUACUCAGUUACCACUACCACUGGAUCUCUUCUCUAUAUUAUUAUCCAGGCAACAUUUGAAGCUUUACUUAAGAACAUGAGGUACUAAAAAAAAAAUCUUUUCACAAAAGAAGGUAGUUUCAUUCACUGCCAUCCUUUCAUUUUGAAGUGGGC